rnacentral:rRNA from 1 species
CUUCCGAUGGCGACCGGCGCACGGGUGAGUAACACGUAUCCAACCUGCCGAUAACUCGGGGAUAGCCUUUCGAAAGAAAGAUUAAUAUCCGAUAGGAUAUCAAGGUCGCAUGAUCUUGAUAUUAAAGAAUUUCGGUUAUCGAUGGGGAUGCGUUCCAUUAGUUAGUUGGCGGGGUAACGGCCCACCAAGACGACGAUGGAUAGGGGUUCUGAGAGGAAGGUCCCCCACAUUGGAACUGAGACACGGUCCAAACUCCUACGGGAGGCAGCAG